UUCUGCUUUAUCUCUCCCUGUAUAUCUCUAACUUGUUUGAUAUCACAAUAUCCUAAUUUCCUCAGCUGUCUGAAGGAGUCUUAUAUUUUGUCCUAUUGUUCAAUCCAGCCAGGUUCUGUGUGUGUGUGUGUGUACUUUUUCUUUUUUUCCCUUUCUCUUUAAGGCUGAAAAGCAAAGAAUGGUUCUUAAAUUUUUCUCCCCACCCUCCAUCCUUUUUCUUUAUUGGUGCAUUACAGUUGUAUAUAAUGAUGGUGUUUGUUGUUUUGUAUUCAUACGUGCAUACAGUAUAACAGUAUAAUUUGACCAAUGUCACUCUCCAGUACUUCCCUCCUCCCUCCCCUACUUCCACCCUUUGGUCCCUCUCCUUUAAUGACCUUUUGAUUUUUUUGGAGAUCCCCACCUUUGUUUUCCAUUUAUCCUCUCUGGUUUCUGUAUAUGAGAGCAAACAUACAACUCAUAACCUUCUGAGUUUGACUUAAUUUUGCUUAACAUAAUGGCCUGUAGUUCCAUCCAUUUUCCUACAAAUGCCAUAUAUUUUUUUUUUAAUUGCUGAAUAAACUCCAUUGUGUAUAUAUUUUCUUUAUCCGUUCAUUCAUUGAUGGAUACCUAAACUGGCUCCAUAGUUUGGCUAUUGUGAUUUGUACUGCUAGAAACAUGGAUAUGUAUGCAUUACAGUCUAAGAUGACUUUAAUUCUUCAGGAUAAAUACUGAGAAAGAGAGAUAGCUGUGUCAUCUGGUGGUUCUAUACCUAGUCUUUUGAGGAACUUCCAUACUGAUUUCCGUAGUGCUUGUACUAAUCUACAGCCCCGUGGACAUUAUAAAAUGUGUUCUUUUUUUCUCCAUAUCCUCUCAAGCAUUAUUAUUUGUAUUCUUG
rnacentral:lncRNA from 1 species